rnacentral:tRNA from 4 species
CGCGGGGUGGAGCAGUAGUAGCUCGCCUGGCUCAUAACCAGGAGGUCGCGGGUGCAACUCCCGCCCCCGCAACAA